UGUUAAAAAUUUCAUGCAUUUAUAUUGUUAAAAACUAGUGUGGUUGAUGAAAUAACCAGACAAUAACACACAGUAUGUCACAUUUACCUUAUGGUGAUGUACAUGAAUUAAUAUUUAACAGUAGAAAUGAAUGGUAUCUUUUAACA
rfam:Gossypium hirsutum cultivar TM-1 chromosome 9, whole genome shotgun sequence